rnacentral:rRNA from 1 species
GACGAACGCUGGCGGCGUGCUUAACACAUGCAAGUCGAGCGGUAAGGCCCUUUCGGGGGUACACGAGCGGCGAACGGGUGAGUAACACGUGGGUGACCUGCCCUCAGCUCUGGGAUAAGCCUGGGAAACCGGGUCUAAUACUGGAUAUGACUCCAUGACGCAUGUUGUGGGGUGGAAAGCCUUGUGCGGCUGAGGAUGGGCCCGCGGCCUAUCAGCUUGUUGGUGGGGUGANAGGCCUACCAAGGCGACGACGGGUAGCCGGCCUGAGAGGGCGACCGGCCACACUGGGACUGAGACACGGCCCAGACUCCUACGGGAGGCAGCAGUGGGGAAUCUUGCGCAAUGGGCGAAAGCCUGACGCAGCGACGCCGCGUGAGGGAUGACGGCCUCGG